rnacentral:rRNA from 1 species
GAUGAACGCUGGCGGCGUGCCUAAUACAUGCAAGCCGAGCGAACGGACGGGAAGCUUGCUUCUCUGAUGUUAGCGGCGGACGGGUGAGUAACACGUGGAUAACCUACCUAUAAGACUGGGAUAACUUCGGGAAACCGGAGCUAAUACCGGAUGAUAUUUUGAACCGCAUGGUUCAAAAGUGAAAGACGGUCUUGCUGUCACUUCUAGAUGGAUCCGCGCUGCAUUAGCUAGUUGGUAAGGUAACGGCUUACCAAGGCAACGAUGCAUAGCCGACCUGAGAGGGUGAUCGGCCACCCUGGAGCUGAGACACGGUCCAGACUCCUACGGGAGGCAGCAGUAGGGAAUCUUCCGCAAUAGGCGAAAGCCUGACGGAGCAACGCCGCGUGAGUGAUGAAGGUCUUCGGAUCGUAAAACUCUGUUAUUAGGGAAGAACAGAUGUGUAAGUAACUGUGCACAUCUUGACGGUACCUAAUCAGAAAGCCACGGCUAACUACGUG